rnacentral:rRNA from 1 species
AUUGAACGCUGGCGGCAGGCCUAACACAUGCAAGUCGAGCGGAUGAAGGGAGCUUGCUCCUGGAUUCAGCGGCGGACGGGUGAGUAAUGCCUAGGAAUCUGCCUGGUAGUGGGGGAUAACGUCCGGACACGGGCGCUAAUACCGCAUACGUCCUGAGGGAGAAAGUGGGGGAUCUUCGGACCUCACGCUAUCAGAUGAGCCUAGGUCGGAUUAGCUAGUUGGUGGGGUAAAGGCCUACCAAGGCGACGAUCCGUAACUGGUCUGAGAGGAUGAUCAGUCACACUGGAACUGAGACACGGUCCAGACUCCUACGGGAGGCAGCAGUGGGGAAUAUUGGACAAUGGGCGAAAGCCUGAUCCAGCCAUGCCGCGUGUGUGAAGAAGGUCUUCGGAUUGUAAAGCCCUUUAAGUUGGGAGGAAGGGCAGUAAGUUAAUACCUUGCUGUUUUGACGUUACCAACAGAAUAAGCACCGGCUAACUUCGUG